rnacentral:rRNA from 1 species
AUGCUGUCCGGCCUCUCCACCGCCGGCACCACGCCCUCGUGCUACAUCCAGCAAAGCUGCCGCCCCCUCCCUAGCCCGACCUCCCCCAUCUCCACCACGAAGGGACAAACAGCGGCAGCGGCGAGUUGGAUCGGGGCAGCGUGCUGCUGGGCAACGGCUGAGUAUAUAAUCUAUGACAGGACUUGCCGCUUAAGCAAUGUGAUUAUGGGAAAUUGGGGACAGAAGCAACAAGUGUGUGAACUCAAACUUCUGUGUGAGCUCAUACUGGUUGCCUGGCAAAAAGCCCAGGAAGAUAGCCCGGCAAAUGUUCGUGCUUCAGAAUUUUCGGAAGUUCUUCUACUUCUAUCACAUCAGCAGAGCUUGAUCCUCAUGCCUUGCACACGUGUUCUUUUAAUAAUGUUGCUGUUGGAUUCUGUAGGAAAGACAAAGAGGACCAAGAAGUAG